rnacentral:rRNA from 1 species
GACGAACGCUGGCGGCGUGCCUAAUACAUGCAAGUAGAACGCUGAAGAGAGGAGCUUGCUCUUCUUGGAUGAGUUGCGAACGGGUGAGUAACGCGUAGGUAACCUGCCUUGUAGCGGGGGAUAACUAUUGGAAACGAUAGCUAAUACCGCAUAACAAUGGAUGACACAUGUCAUUUAUUUGAAAGGGGCAAUUGCUCCACUACAAGAUGGACCUGCGUUGUAUUAGCUAGUAGGUGAGGCAAUGGCUCACCUAGGCGACGAUACAUAGCCGACCUGAGAGGGUGAUCGGCCACACUGGGACUGAGACACGGCCCAGACUCCUACGGGAGGCAGCAGUAGGGAAUCUUCGGCAAUGGGGGCAACCCUGACCGAGCAACGCCGCGUGAGUGAAGAAGGUUUUCGGAUCGUAAAGCUCUGUUGUAAGUCAAGAACGGGUGUGAGAGUGGAAAGUUCACACUGUGACGGUAGCUUACCAGAAAGGGACGGCUAACUACGUG